rnacentral:rRNA from 1 species
AGCGAACGCCGGCGGCGUGCCUAACACAUGCAAGUCGAGCGCGAAAGUUCCUUCGGGAAUGAGUAAAGCGGCGGACGGGUGAGUAAUACGUGGGUAAUCUGCCCCCGAGCUCGGGAUAACACUGCGAAAGCGGUGCUAAUACCGGAUAAGACCACAUGACACAUGUCGUGCGGUAAAAGGUGGCUUUAUUUUCGUAUGAGGCUAUCACUGGAGGAUGAGCCCAUGGCCUAUCAGAUUGUUGGUGAGGUAAAAGCACACCAAGGGGAUGACGGGUAGCUGGUCUAAGAGGACGACCAGCCACACUGGGACUGAGACACGGCCCAGACUCCUACGGGAGGCAGCAGUGGGGAAUAUUGGGCAAUGGGCGAAAGCCUGACCCAGCGACGCCGUGUGGGCGAUGAAGGCCUUCGGGUCGUAAAGCCCUGUGAGGUGGGAAGAAGGGCCCAGAGGUUAAUACCCUUUGGGCUUUGACGGUACCACCAGAGGAAGCACCGGCUAACUCCGUGCCAGCCGCCGCGGUAAGAC